rnacentral:misc_RNA from 1 species
UAAAAACCCUAGUUCCGUUCUUAUCCUCGUUCAUUAAUAUUCAGUUUCGGUAUUUUCUGUUUGUUUCUUCGUGAAGUCAUUUCAUUUUCCCUCUUUGUUCUCCAAGAAAAUGUGGGAUAACGGAAGAAAAUAACGUUUCCAGCUUUUACAACUCUGCGAUUUCAAUUUCUCGCUUUCUCUAGUUUUAAUGGGUUUUUAAAAAAUUGUAGUUUCCUAGGGCUGAUGUUUUGAAUUUGUUUACAUUUGAGCAACGAUGGUAUAUCGAGUUGAUUGAAAUUAUCUGUUCACUGAUCCUACGUUUUAAGAUAAUUGAAGUAGUGCAUUCUUGAGAAACUUCUCAUUAGUCUCUUUCUUGCGUCCCCUAUCAUAUUGAAAUAUCAGUAAAUCCAUAAUCGGUACUCUAACUUUAAUAUAUGAAGUUGGAUGUGAUUCUGAAGUUAUUUCAAAUUUGUGAAGGCUUGUACUAUAUGUUCUUCUAGUUCCUGACUGUCUGGUAGUUACUAUUGUGUAAAUGGGAAUUCAUUUGGGAAUUAUUUUGAUGGUAGAGAUGCUUCAAGGUUGCAUGCUCUUACAUUUCAGGCCGGCAUUUCAACUGCUAGGCAGGAUCUUACUGCAAACGAACGCAUAUAUGCUCCGUACUGUGUUUUCAAGGGAAAAGCUGCACU